ACUGCUCAGUAACACGUGGACAACCUACCCUCCGGACGGGAAUAAACCCGGGAAGCUGGGUAUAAUCCCCGAUAGAUCUCGGUCGCUGGAAAGCCCCGAGAUCGAAAGCUCCGGCGCCAGAGGAUGGGUCUGCGGCCUAUCAGGUAGUAGUGGGUGUAGCGUACCUACUAGCCUACGACGGGUACGGGUUGUGAGAGCAAGAGCCCGGAGAUGGAUUCUGAGACACGAAUCCAGGCCCUACGGGGUGCAGCAGGCGCGAAAACUUUACAAUGCCGGCAACGGCGAUAAGGGAACCUCGAGUGCCAGGUUACAAAUCUGGCUGUCGUGAUGCCUAAAAAGCAUUGCAUAGCAAGGACCGGGCAAGACCGGUGCCAGCCGCCGCGGUAACACCGGCGGCUCGAGUGGUAACCGUUAUUAUUGGGUCUAAAGGGUCUGUAGCCGGCCGGAUAAGUCUCUUGGGAAAUCCAGCAGCUCAACUGUUGGGCUUUCAGGAGAUACUGUCUGGCUCGAGGCCGGGAGAGGUGAGAGGUACUUCAGGGGUAGGGGUGAGAUCUUGUAAUCCUUGAAGGACCACCAGUGGCGAAGGCGUCUCACCAGAACGGACCUGACGGCAAGGGACGAAAGCUAGGGGCACGAACCGGAUUAGAUACCCGGGUAGUCCUAGCCGUAAACGAUACUCGCUAGGUGUCGGCCACGGUGCGACCGUUGUCGGUGCCGUAGGGAAGCCGUGAAGCGAGCCACCUGGGAAGUACGGCCGCAAGGCUGAAACUUAAAGGAAUUGGCGGGGGAGCAC
rnacentral:rRNA from 1 species